CUACGGGAGGCAGCAGUGGGGAAUAUUGGGCAAUGGGGGAAACCCUGACCCAGCGACGCCGCGUGGAGGAAGGAGCCCUUCGGGGUGUAAACUCCUGUUGUAAGGGAAGAAGACAGUGACGGUGCCUUACGAGGAAGCCCCGGCAAACUACGCGCCAGCAGCCGCGGUAACACGUAGGGGGCGAGCGUUGUCCGGAAUCACUGGGCGUAAAGCGCACGCAGGCGGAUGCGCGCGUCGGCUGUGAAAUGCACCGGCUCAACCGGUGCACUGCGGUCGAUACGGCGCGUCUGGAGUGCGGGAGAGGGAAGCGGAAUUCCCGGUGUAGCGGUGAAAUGCGUAGAUAUCGGGAGGAACGCCGGUGGCGAAGGCGGCUUCCUGGCCCGCAACUGACGCUCAUGUGCGAAAGCCAGGGGAGCGAACCGGAUUAGAAACCCUUGUAGUCC
rnacentral:rRNA from 1 species